rnacentral:rRNA from 1 species
GACGAACGCUGGCGGCGUGCUUAACACAUGCAAGUCGAACGGGCCUUGUCCCCUUUUUUUUUGGGGGUGGGGUUAGUGGCGAACGGGUGAGUAACACGUGAGUAACCUGCCCCUCACUUCUGGAUAACCGCUUGAAAGGGUGGCUAAUACGGGGUGUUCUGGCCUGCUCGCAUGGGUGGGUUUGGAAAGAUUCGACCGGUUUUGGUUGUUUUGGUGGGGGAUGGGCUCGCGGCCUAUCAGCUUGUUGGUGGGGUGAUGGCCUGCCAAGGCUUUGACGGGUAGCCGGCCUGAGAGGGUGGGCGGUCACACUGGGACUGAGACACGGCCCAGACUCCUACGGGCGGCAGCAGUGGGGAAUAUUGCACAAUGGGCGCAAGCCUGAUGCAGCGACGCCGCGUGAGGGAUGGAGGCCUUCGGGUUGUGAACCUCUUUCGCCAGUGAAGAAGGUCCUGCUCUUUGUGGUGGGGUUGACGGUAGCUGGGUUAAUGAGGCGCCGGCUAACUACGUG